rnacentral:rRNA from 1 species
GAUGAACGCUGGCGGCGUGCCUAAUACAUGCAAGUCGAGCGAACAGAUGAGGAGCUUGCUCCUCUGACGUUAGCGGCGGACGGGUGAGUAACACGUGGAUAACCUACCUAUAAGACUGGGAUAACUUCGGGACACCGGAGCUAAUACCGGAUAAUAUAUUGAACCGCAUGGUUCAAUAGUGAAAGACGGUUUUGCUGUCACUUAUAGAUGGAUCCGCGCCGCAUUAGCUAGUUGGUAAGGUAACGGCUUACCAAGGCAACGAUGCGUAGCCGACCUGAGAGGGGGAUCGGCCACACUGGAGCGGAGACGCGGUCCAGACGCCUACGAGAGGCAGCAGUAGGGAAUGGUACGCAAUGGGCGAAAGCCUGACGGAGCAGCGCCGCGUGAGUGAUGAAGGUCUUCGGAUCGUAAAACUCUGUUAUGAGGGAAGAACAAAUGUGUAAGUAAAUAUGCACGUCGUGACGGUACCUAAUCAGAAAGCCACGGCUAACUACGUG